CUCGGUGCUCAUAAUCACCCCACGGCCCCAGGACCACGGCACCAACCUGAUCUGUCAGGUGAAGUUCCCUGGAGCUGGUGUGACUACGGAGAGAAUCAUCCAGCUCAAUGUCACCUGGAAACAAGAGACCAGAGCAGGAGUGGUUCAUGGGGCCAUCGGAGGAGCUGGUAUUACAGCCCUGCUUGCUCUUUGUCUCUGCCUCAUCUUCUUCAUAGUGAAGACCCACAGGAGGAAAGCAGCCAGGACAGCAGUGGGCAGGAAUGACACCCACUCUGCCACAGGGCCAGCCUCCCCGGUAUGUUGAGGCCAACAGAUCAGGAGAUGAUGGCCAUUGAAAAGAUAGUUUCUUGGCUGGGCACAGUUUCACACCUGUAAUCCCAGCACUUUUGGAGGCCGAGGUGGGCAGAUCCCGAGGUCAGGAGAUCGAGACCGUCCUGGCUAGCACAGUGAAACCCUGUCUCUACUAAAAAUACAAAAAAAUUAGCCGGGCAUGGUGGCGGGCACCUGUAGUCCCAGCUACUUGGGAGGCUGAGGCAGGAGAAUGGUGUGAACCUGGGAGGCGGAGCUUGUAGUGAGCCGAGAUAGCACUAUUGCACUCCAGCCUGGGUGACAGAGUGAGACUCUGUCCAAAAAAGAAAAAAAAAAUAGUUUCUUAUUCACCAUUCCCGAGAGGGCGCACCACAACAUGCAAGGCCAUAUGGAGAAGCACCAGGGUCAGUCAGGAAGCAGAGGGAGCAAGGAGAAAAUAGGACAAGAGCCUUCUCUGUGGCUUUUAUGGAAAAGAAUGGGCAAGACAGGGUAAGCAAGCUAGGCAGGUUUAUGAUUGGCUACUUAGAACAAUUUCAGCAGACUCUGGGGUAUAAGAGUUGUCUCUAGUUGUCUGGUACGUGGCCCUGGGUUUAUUAAGGAGGAUUGUGGCCUGGAGUGUAAGAGCUCAAUAAAAGAUCCAGCUGGUAGUGUGGGCUUUAGACUGACUGGUUUGCACAUGAAAGGUGCACUUGUAUGCAAGUCCUUUACUAGCUCUAGAAAUCUACUAUCCUUGGGAGAGGCAGUCUCUCAAAGGUCAGCAAUGCCCCAGAUGUCAAAACAUCAGAAACACUUGGUUGACACACCCCUAAACAUAGUUCUCCUGAUGAGUUCUCCAUCUCACUAAAGGUACUCUUGUCCCCAUUACCCAACAAGAGACAUGGCCCCCUCAUGCCCCAGUCCUCCAUCUCUUCUUCCUGUGCCAGUAUGCUACGAUGCAUGUCUGAGCUUCCUCUGAACACAGCUUAACACAACCACUCCUUCUGAGCCGAGAGCCUCUGUUAUUCCUUAUUCUGCUGCAGCCUCACCUCCCAUUUCUCCUCUCCAGAACAUUAGCAUUAUCUCCCUAAAAGGUCAUUGUCCCAUCAUUCCCAAGUUUGAAAUGCGCUGCUUCUCUACUCUCCUGAAAGAUUGGCAUUCCAACAACUUGGUCUGGCAUUGGAGCAGGAAAACCAGAGUCCCCUUCAGCGCUAUGCUCCCCCAACAUUAGCCACUCAAUCACCUCAAGCAGGGCAAGAUUUUUCAUCUCAGAAUCAUUGCUGGGCUGUCCCCUCCUCCUCAUAUGCCUAAUAGCUACCUGCCCAACUCCAGUGCAUCCUUCAAGCUCUGAUUUUUUUUUAAAUUUAUUUAACUCUGACUAAAGUGAACACCACAGUAAAGUUUUUGAACACAGGGUCAACCAGCACCCAUUCAUUCUGCAAAUAUCUAUAUAAUCCCAUUUGCCAAUUGUUCUAGGUCCUUGUGCCAUUCUGUAUUUUUAUAAACACAUAGUUUACAAAUAUAAAAUAUUCCUCCUAUUGGGGGCUUAACAUUUAAUGGGGAAAGGGAUGAAAAUAAUGAACAAAUAAGUAGUGCAGAUAUACAUGAAAUAAGUGCUAUGGCAGGAAAUGAAAUGGGAGAACGGAAUGGUCAGUCCUUGGGGCCAAAGAGUGGCCUUUGGGCAAACACCUGCAGAAAGAAAGUGAGUACAGUAUGAGCAGUAGAGAAUCAUCAAGGAAGCAGCAAAUACCAUGGCUCUGAGGCUGGAACACAUCUGACGUUUUAGAGAAACAAAGUAGGACAGUGUGGAUAAGGCAGAGUUACGUGUUGGGGGUGGUGUGUGAACUGAACAAUGGUAGGUAGGAAAUGAAGUUGAAGAGACAUAGGAGCUGCAAAUAUUACAGGAUCCUAAGUCCAUCAUAGUUAUUGAUGCGUUUAGAGCAGAAGAGUGACAUAAACUGACACUCAUUUUAGUGGGAGUCACUCUGGCUGCUGUGUGAGAAACUCUAGUACGUAGUAUAGAAGAGAAGAUACCAGAAGAGAAGAUAGAAGAGAAGAUACUAGUACGUAGUAUAGAAGAGAAGUAUAGAAGAGAAUAGAGGAUACGCAGAUAAUCAAGCCAAGAGAUGACUGACUCAGACUUAGUCCCCAGUAAGAAAAAUGAAUCUGAUGUGGAGAAAUUGGGUUCCAGAUACAUCUUGAAGGUGGAUCAACAGUAUUUGCAAGUGGAGUGAUGGAUGCAUGCAAGGCAUGAGCAAAGAUAGCUCACAGACUCUGCUUGAUAAGUGUCUCAGAUGUCAUAGGUGGGUCCACAGAUAUCGUAGAUGUCAUGGAUGUCCAAGAAGACCCCAUAGAUGUCAUAGAUGUCUAUAGAUGCCAAUUAUGAUGUUCAUGUGGUUUACUCAGAAUUCAAACUUAAAAAAUCAAAUUGCCAAUGAUUAAAAUUGCCAUCCUUGAAGGAGAAGUAUAUUUUCAAGUGUAUAUCAAAUAUUAUUUUGGUUACUGUAAGUAUGAGGUGCCUCUGAGACAUCCAUGUAGAGAUGACAAGUAGCAGGCAAGUGUCUGGAGCUCAGAAGAGGGAUCCAUGUGGGAGACACAGAGGUUGGGGGCUUCCAUAUCAAUAUCCAAUAAUUGGUGAAUCUACAAAGAAGAGAAGUGGUCCACAGACACAGCCCUAGAACCCUCCAGCAUUUAAUGUUAGGGAGAUGAGGUGUAAAUGGUGGGAAAGCUGAGAAUGAAUAGGAGCCAAUGGCCAGGAAAUUGCAGGCUCUAGUGUUGGUGGCCAAGGGAAGAUGGGGCUUCAUGGAAGAGAGGUUGGUCAUUUGUUUCAAAUGCUGGUAAGUCUGGUAAGAUAGAAUCUGAGAAAUGGCUAUUAGAAUGUAGCUAAGUGGUAUGACAGCAAAGCAGAUCUGAUUUUCUGCUGGAGGAAGAUCUCUUGACUGAGAGAGUUCAAGAGAAAAUGGGAGGCGAGGAGGCAAAAACUAUGAGUUGAAGGACUCUUUUGAGAAACACUGCCCCAACCAAGAAAUGGGCCUGCACCAGCAAAUGGUUGUACCCUGUAGACUUGCCAUUUCUCCAGCAUCUGCUCCUAUCUCUUAUGCUACCAUGUUCCCUAUUUGUGUAGGGCUUUGCACCACUUGAACUAACUGCAUUCCCAUAGCUCUCCCUACCACACCAUGAGCUCAACAAGGAAAAGGCUGGGUUUUAUUAGACCUCCAUCAUUCCACUCUCUCCUGUUCGUCUGCACACUGUCACAGUUUGCAAUUACCAGUCUGUUUCUGUCUUCAUCCCCUGCAGUACUGGAAAUCACAGGGCCCCUGCUCUGCUUUGCUCCCUCCUGAGGAUCCAGUGUCCAGCACAUAGGAGGUCCCAGAGACCUGGGACUGAGUUCAGGGUCAACAGUUGUGUGACUUUGGAAAUUACCUAACCUCUCUGAGACCUAGUUUUCUGGUCUGUAAAAUGGAUAAAAUAAUAGUUGCUAAAGAUGAUGUCAGUGUAGCUGCCCAGAAUUUUUCCACAUUAGUCUCUGUGAGUAUUCCAGAGAAUUGGGAAUCAAUCAAUAUGUGCUACAUGUGUUAGAUAAUGAAUAAGUAGAGCCUUAAUUAAUUAGCAUUUGAUGAAAGAAUGAAAGAGUGAAUAAAUGUUCUGUCAGAGUCAAAUUUACUUCAUUGACCCUCUUUGCCUUCUCCCGGUCGCCCUCCUCACUGCCCUGCUGUAACCCCCUUCUUUCCUCUCCAUAAGAAACACCAGAAGAAGUCCAAGUUACAUGGCCCCACUGAAACCUCAAGCUGUUCAGGUGCCGCCCCUACUGUGGAGAUGGAUGAGGAGCUGCAUUAUGCUUCCCUCAAAUUUCAUGGGAUGAAUCCUUCCAAGGACACCUCCACCGAAUACACAGAGGUCAGGACCCAGUGAGGAACCUACAAGAGCAUUGGGCUCAGCUAGAAGAUCCACAUCCUCUACAGAUCCCAAUUUAGGUUCCUCUCUGCCUGUUCCUCUAAGAGGCCACUGUUUGAACCACUUCCUGAAUCUGUAGCCAAAAAUUGGAAGCAACCCAAAUGUCCAUCAACUAAUGAAGAAUAAACAAAAUCUGGUACAUUCCUGCAAUUCGUAUCAUUCAGACAUAAAGAAGGACAGAAGUACGGAUACAUGCUACAACAUGUAUGAACUUCGAAAACAUCACACCAAGUGAAAGAAGCCAGAUACUAAAGAUCACGUAUCAUAUGAUUCCAUUGAUAUGAAAUGUCUAGAAUAGGAAAUAUAUUUCUGGAGGCAGAAAGCAGAUUGGUGGUUACCAGGGGCUUCAAGGAGGGCAGUGACUGCUUAGUGAGUACACGCUUUCCUUUUGGGGUAGUGAAAAUGUUUAGAACCAAAUAGAGGUUGUGGUUACACAACAUUGUGCAUGUACUAAAUGCCACUGAGUUGUUCACUUUAACAUGGUUCAUUGUAUGUAAUGUGAUUUUACUUCAAUAAAAAAAAUAAUAAU
rnacentral:sRNA from 1 species